AUAAGCGCACAGGGCGGAUGCCUUGGCAGUCAGAGGCGAUGAAGGACGUGGUAAUCUGCGAAAAGCCUCGGGGAGCCGAUAAACAGGCUGUGAUCCGGGGAUGUCCGAAUGGGGAAACCCACCCGAUUUUAUCGGGUAUUCCCGAGCUGAAUACAUAGGCACGGGAAGGCGAACCCGGGGAACCGAAACAUCGAAGUACCCGGAGGAAAAGAAAUCAACCGAGAUUCCGUCAGUAGCGGCGAGCGAAAGCGGAGCAGCCCUUGAAGCUGUGCACAGGUCAGUGGAAUGCUCUGGAAAGGGCAGCCAUAGUGGGUGAAAGCCCCGUACACGAAGGCUUGUGCAUGGUGAUAUCGAGUAGGGCGGGACACGUGAAAUCCUGUCUGAACAUGGGGGGACCAUCCUCCAAGGCUAAAUACUCCUGACUGACCGAUAGUGAACCAGUACCGUGAGGGAAAGGCGAAAAGAACCCCGUUGAGGGGAGUGAAAUAGACCCUGAACCCCUGUGCGUACAAGCAGUGGGAGCACUGACCGUUUUCGGACUGUCGGUGUGACUGCGUACCUUUUGUAUAAUGGGUCAGCGACUUGCAUUCUGUGGCCAGGUUAACCGAAUAGGGAAGCCGUAGGGAAACCGAGUCUGAAUAGGGCGUCCGGUCGCAAGACCGGUUGAAGUCGCAGGGUGCAGACCCGAAACCGGGCGAUCUAUCCAUGGGCAGGCUGAAGGUUGGGUAACACCAACUGGAGGGCCGAACCGACUGUCGUUGAAAAGCCAGCGGAUGACCUGUGGAUCGGAGUGAAAGGCUAAUCAAGCCCGGAGAUAGCUGGUUCUCCCCGAAAGCUAUUUAGGUAGCGCCUUGUGGAUAACCCAGGGGGGUAGAGCACUGUGUCGGCUAGGGGGCCAUCCCGGCUUACCAACCCGAUGCAAACUCCGAAUACCCUGGAGUCGGACCACAGGAGACAGACGGCGGGUGCUAAGGUCCGUCGUCGAGAGGGCAACAGCCCAGACCGCCAGCUAAGGUCCCCAAACAUGAUCAAGUGGGAAACGAUGUGGGAAGGCACAGACAGCCAGGAGGUUGGCUUAGAAGCAGCCAUCCUUUGAAGAAAGCGUAAUAGCUCACUGGUCGAGUCGGCCCGCGCGGAAGAUGUAACGGGGCUCAAAUCAUGUACCGAAGCUGCGGCUUUCCGUGCAAACGGGAAGGGUAGGGGAGCGUUCUGUAGGCCGUUGAAGGUGUGCUGGGAAGCAUGCUGGAGGUAUCAGAAGUGCGAAUGCUGACAUGAGUAACGAUAAAGGGGGUGAGAGUCCCCCUCGCCGUAAGACCAAGGGUUUCUGCGCAACGUCGAUCGGCGCGGAGUGAGUCGGCCCCUAAGGCGAGAGCGAAAGCUGUAGUCGAUGGGAAACGGGUUAAUAUUCCCGUACCUUGCACAACUGCGAUGGAGUGACGGAGAAGGCUGGGCCAGCAGGGCGAUGGUUGUCCCUGUUUAAGGUGGUAGGCUGGGCAUUCAGGAAAAUCCGGAUGCCCUUAAGCCGAGAGCUGAUGACGAGCGGUCUACGGACUGCGGAGUGGUUGAUGCCAUGCUUCCAGGAAAAGCUUCUAAGCAUCAGGUUGUGCGGGACCGUACCCCAAACCGACACAGGUGGUCGGGUAGAGUAUACCAAGGCGCUUGAGAGAACCCGGGUGAAGGAACUAGGCAAAAUGGUACCGUAACUUCGGGAGAAGGUACGCCGCUGGAGGUGAAGGACUUGCUCCGUAAGCUUCUGGCGGUCGAAGAGAGCAGGUGGCUGCGACUGUUUAUUAAAAACAUAGCACUGUGCCAACACGAGAGUGGACGUAUACGGUGUGACGCCUGCCCGGUGCCGGAAGGUUAAUUGAUGGGGUUAUCGCAAGAGAAGCUCCUGAUCGAAGCCCCGGUAAACGGCGGCCGUAACUAUAACGGUCCUAAGGUAGCGAAAUUCCUUGUCGGGUAAGUUCCGACCUGCACGAAUGGCGUAACGAUGGCCACGCUGUCUCCACCCGGGACUCAGUGAAAUUGAAAUCGCAGUGAAGAUGCUGUGUAUCCGCGGCUAGACGGAAAGACCCCGUGAACCUUUACUACAGCUUCACACGGGACUCUGAUGCAAUCUGUGUAGGAUAGCUGGGAGGCAUUGAAACCGGGACGCCAGUUCUGGUGGAGUCGACCUUGAAAUACCAGCCUGGUUGCAUUGGUGUUCUAACUCCGCACCAUUAUCUGGUGUGAGGACAGUGUGUGGUGGGUAGUUUGACUGGGGCGGUCUCCUCCCAAAGAGUAACGGAGGAGUGCGAAGGUUGGCUAAGCACGGUCGGACAUCGUGCGGUUAGUAUAAUGGUACAAGCCAGCCUGACUGCGAGAGCGACAACUCGAGCAGGUGCGAAAGCAGGUCAUAGUGAUCCGGUGGUUCUGAAUGGAAGGGCCAUCGCUCAACGGAUAAAAGGUACUCCGGGGAUAACAGGCUGAUACCGCCCAAGAGUUCACAUCGACGGCGGUGUUUGGCACCUCGAUGUCGGCUCAUCACAUCCUGGGGCUGAAGCCGGUCCCAAGGGUAUGGCUGUUCGCCAUUUAAAGUGGUACGCGAGCUGGGUUUAGAACGUCGUGAGACAGUUCGGUCCCUAUCUGCCGUGGACGUUGGAAGUUUGAGAAGAGCUGCUCCCAGUACGAGAGGACCGGAGUGGACGGACCGCUGGUGUUCGGGUUGUGUCGCCAGACGCAUUGCCCGGUAGCUACGUCCGGAAGGGAUAACCGCUGAAAGCAUCUAAGCGGGAAGCCUCCUUCGAGAUGAGACUUCCCAGGACCUUGAGUCCCUGAAGAGCCGUCCAGGACCAGGACGUUGAUAGGCCGGGUGUGUAAGCGUUGUGAGGCGUUGAGCUAACCGGUACUAAUGACUCGUGCGGCUUGACC
rnacentral:rRNA from 1 species